rnacentral:rRNA from 1 species
UUAAGCGACUAAGCGUACACGGUGGAUGCCCUGGCAGUCAGAGGCGAUGAAGGACGUGCUAAUCUGCGAAAAGCGUCGGUAAGGUGAUAUGAACCGUUAUAACCGGCGAUGUCCGAAUGGGGAAACCCAGUGCAAUUCGUUGCACUAUCGUUAACUGAAUACAUAGGUUAACGAGGCGAACCGGGGGAACUGAAACAUCUAAGUACCCCGAGGAAAAGAAAUCAACCGAGAUUCCCCCAGUAGCGGCGAGCGAACGGGGAGCAGCCCAGAGUCUGAAUCAGCUUGUGUGUUAGUGGAACGGUCUGGAAAGUCCGACGGUACAGGGUGAUAGUCCCGUACACCAAAAUGCACAGGUUGUGAACUCGAAGAGUAGGGCGGGACACGUGGUAUCCUGUCUGAAUAUGGGGGGACCAUCCUCCAAGGCUAAAUACUCCUGACUGACCGAUAGUGAACCAGUACCGUGAGGGAAAGGCGAAAAGAACCCCGGCGAGGGGAGUGAAAAAGAACCUGAAACCGUGUACGUACAAGCAGUGGGAGCACCUUCGGGUGUGACUGCGUACCUUUUGUAUAAUGGGUCAGCGACUUAUAUUCUGUAGCAAGGUUAACCGUAUAGGGGAGCCGCAGGGAAACCGAGUCUUAACUGGGCGUUAAGUUGCAGGGUAUAGACCCGAAACCCGGUGAUCUAGCCAUGGGCAGGUUGAAGGUUGGGUAACACUAACUGGAGGACCGAACCGACUAAUGUUGAAAAAUUAGCGGAUGACUUGUGGCUGGGGGUGAAAGGCCAAUCAAACCGGGAGAUAGCUGGUUCUCCCCGAAAGCUAUUUAGGUAGCGCCUCGUGAAUUCAUCUUCGGGGUAGAGCACUGUUUCGGCUAGGGGGUCAUCCCGACUUACCAACCCGAUGCAAACUACGAAUACCGAAGAAUGUUAUCACGGGAGACACACGGCGGGUGCUAACGUCCGUCGUGAAGAGGGAAACAACCCAGACCGCCAGCUAAGGUCCCAAAGUCAUGGUUAAGUGGGAAACGAUGUGGGAAGGCACAGACAGCCAGGAUGUUGGCUUAGAAGCAGCCAUCAUUUAAAGAAAGCGUAAUAGCUCACUGGUCGAGUCGGCCUGCGCGGAAGAUGUAACGGGGCUAAACCAUGCACCGAAGCUGCGGCAGCGACACUAUGUGUUGUUGGGUAGGGGAGCGUUCUGUAAGCCUGCGAAGGUGUGCUGUGAGGCAUGCUGGAGGUAUCAGAAGUGCGAAUGCUGACAUAAGUAACGAUAAAGCGGGUGAAAAGCCCGCUCGCCGGAAGACCAAGGGUUCCUGUCCAACGUUAAUCGGGGCAGGGUGAGUCGACCCCUAAGGCGAGGCCGAAAGGCGUAGUCGAUGGGAAACAGGUUAAUAUUCCUGUACUUGGUGUUACUGCGAAGGGGGGACGGAGAAGGCUAUGUUAGCCGGGCGACGGUUGUCCCGGUUUAAGCAUGUAGGCUGAUUAUCCAGGCAAAUCCGGAUAAUCAAGGCUGAGGUGUGAUGACGAGGCACUACGGUGCUGAAGUAACAAAUGCCCUGCUUCCAGGAAAAGCCUCUAAGCAUCAGGUAACAUCAAAUCGUACCCCAAACCGACACAGGUGGUCAGGUAGAGAAUACCAAGGCGCUUGAGAGAACUCGGGUGAAGGAACUAGGCAAAAUGGUGCCGUAACUUCGGGAGAAGGCACGCUGGUGUGUAGGUGAAGCCCCUGCGGGUGGAGCUGAGACCAGUCGAAGAUACCAGCUGGCUGCAACUGUUUAUUAAAAACACAGCACUGUGCAAACACGAAAGUGGACGUAUACGGUGUGACGCCUGCCCGGUGCCGGAAGGUUAAUUGAUGGGGUUAUCCGUAAGGAGAAGCUCUUGAUCGAAGCCCCGGUAAACGGCGGCCGUAACUAUAACGGUCCUAAGGUAGCGAAAUUCCUUGUCGGGUAAGUUCCGACCUGCACGAAUGGCGUAAUGAUGGCCAGGCUGUCUCCACCCGAGACUCAGUGAAAUUGAACUCGCUGUGAAGAUGCAGUGUACCCGCGGCAAGACGGAAAGACCCCGUGAACCUUUACUAUAGCUUGACACUGAACAUUGAGCCUUGAUGUGUAGGAUAGGUGGGAGGCUUUGAAGCGUGGACGCCAGUCUGCGUGGAGCCAACCUUGAAAUACCACCCUUUAAUGUUUGAUGUUCUAACGUUGGCCCCUGACCGGGGUUGCGGACAGUGUCUGGUGGGUAGUUUGACUGGGGCGGUCUCCUCCCAAAGCGUAACGGAGGAGCACGAAGGUUAGCUAAUCCUGGUCGGACAUCAGGAGGUUAGUGCAAUGGCAUAAGCUAGCUUGACUGCGAGCGUGACGGCGCGAGCAGGUGCGAAAGCAGGUCAUAGUGAUCCGGUGGUUCUGAAUGGAAGGGCCAUCGCUCAACGGAUAAAAGGUACUCCGGGGAUAACAGGCUGAUACCGCCCAAGAGUUCAUAUCGACGGCGGUGUUUGGCACCUCGAUGUCGGCUCAUCACAUCCUGGGGCUGAAGUAGGUCCCAAGGGUAUGGCUGUUCGCCAUUUAAAGUGGUACGCGAGCUGGGUUUAGAACGUCGUGAGACAGUUCGGUCCCUAUCUGCCGUGGGCGCUGGAGAAUUGAGGGGGGCUGCUCCUAGUACGAGAGGACCGGAGUGGACGCAUCACUGGUGUUCGGGUUGUCAUGCCAAUGGCACUGCCCGGUAGCUAAAUGCGGAAGAGAUAAGUGCUGAAAGCAUCUAAGCACGAAACUUGCCCCGAGAUGAGUUCUCCCUGAGACUUUAAGUCUCCUGAAGGAACGUUGAAGACGACGACGUUGAUAGGCCGGGUGUGUAAGCGCAGCGAUGCGUUGAGCUAACCGGUACUAAUGAACCGUGAGGCUUAACCUU